rnacentral:rRNA from 1 species
UGGGGAAUAUUGGACAAUGGGGGAAACCCUGAUCCAGCGACGCCGCGUGUGUGAAGAAGGCCUGCGGGUUGUAAAGCACUUUUAGUGGGGACGAAAAGUUUCGGACUAACAAUCCGGGAUCUUGACUUAACCCAAAGAAAAAGCACCGGCUAACUCUGUGCCAGCAGCCGCGGUAAUACAGAGGGUGCGAGCGUUAAUCGGAAUUACUGGGCGUAAAGCGCGCGUAGGCGGUCUUGUAAGUCGGGUGUGAAAGCCCCGGGCUCAACCUGGGAACUGCAUUCGAGACUGCAGGACUGGAGUAUUGGAGAGGGCAGCGGAAUUUCCGGUGUAGCGGUGAAAUGCGUAGAUAUCGGAAGGAACAUCAGUGGCGAAAGCGGCUGCCUGGCCAAAUACUGACGCUCAUGUGCGAAAGCGUGGGGAGCAAACAGG